CCUACGGGUGGCUGCAGUGAGGAAUAUUGGUCAAUGGGCGCAAGCCUGAACCAGCCAAGUAGCGUGAAGGAUGACUGCCCUACGGGUUGUAAACUUCUUUUAUAAAGGAAUAAAGUGAGGCACGUGUGCCUUUUUGUAUGUACUUUAUGAAUAAGGAUCGGCUAACUCCGUGCCAGCAGCCGCGGUAAUACGGAGGAUCCGAGCGUUAUCCGGAUUUAUUUGGUUUAAAGGGAGCGUAGAUGGGUUGUUAAGUCAGUUGUGAAAGUUUGAGGCUCAACCAUAGAAUUGCAAUUGAUACUGGCAGGCUUGAGUACAGUUGAGGCAGGCGGAAUUCGUGGUGUAGCGGUGAAAUGCUUAGAUAUCACGAAGAACUCCGAUUGCGAAGGCAGCUUACUAAACUGCCACUGACACUGAUGCGCGAAAGUGUGGGUAUCAAACAGGAUUAGAUACCCGAGUAGUC
rnacentral:rRNA from 1 species